rnacentral:rRNA from 1 species
CCUACGGGGAGCAGCAGUGGGGAAUAUUGGACAAUGGGGGGAACCCUGAUCCAGCGACGCCGCGUGAGUGAAGAAGUAUUUCGGUAUGUAAAGCUCUAUCAGCAGGGAAGAAAGAAAUGACGGUACCUGACUAAGAAGCCCCGGCUAACUACGUGCCAGAAGCCGCGGUAAUACGUAGGGGGCAAGCGUUAUCCGGAUUUACUGGGUGUAAAGGGAGCGUAGACGGCGAUGCAAGUCUGAAGUGAAAGGCGGGGGCCCAACCCCCGGACUGCUUUGGAAACUGUAUGGCUGGAGUGCAGGAGGGGCAGGCGGAAUUCCUGGUGUAGCGGUGAAAUGCGUAGAUAUCAGGAGGAACACCGGUGGCGAAGGCGGCCUGCUGGACUGCAACUGACGUUGAGGCCCGAAAGCGUGGGGAGCAAACAGGAUUAGAUACCCCAGUAGUC